CCUACGGGUGGCAGCAGUGGGGAAUAUUGGACAAUGGGGGCAACCCUGAUCCAGCCAUGCCGCGUGUGUGAAGAAGGCCCUCGGGUUGUAAAGCACUUUCAGUGAGGAAGAACGCCUGGUGGUUAAUACCCAUCAGGAAAGACAUCACUCACAGAAGAAGCACCGGCUAACUCCGUGCCAGCAGCCGCGGUAAUACGGAGGGUGCGAGCGUUAAUCGGAAUUACUGGGCGUAAAGCGCGCGUAGGUGGCUUGAUAAGCCGGUUGUGAAAGCCCCGGGCUCAACCUGGGAACGGCAUCCGGAACUGUCAAGCUAGAGUGCAGGAGAGGAAGGUAUAAUUCCCGGUGUAGCGGUGAAAUGCGUAGAGAUCGGGAGGAAUACCAGUGGCGAAGGCGGCCUUCUGGACUGACACUGACACUGAGGUGCGAAAGCGUGGGUAGCAAACAGGAUUAGAUACCCCUGUAGUC
rnacentral:rRNA from 1 species